rnacentral:rRNA from 1 species
AGCGUAGACGGCGCAGCAAGUCUGAUGUGAAAGGCAGGGGCUUAACCCCUGGACUGCAUUGGAAACUGCUGUGCUUGAGUGCCGGAGGGGUAAGCGGAAUUCCUAGUGUAGCGGUGAAAUGCGUAGAUAUUAGGAGGAACACCAGUGGCGAAGGCGACUUACUGGACUGUAACUGACGUUGAGGCACGAAAGUGUGGGAGGCAAACA